rnacentral:misc_RNA from 1 species
GAUGAAGAACGCAGUGAAAUGCGAUAAAUAAUGUGAAUUGCAGAAUUCAGUGAAUCAUCGAAUCUUUGAACGCACAUUGCGCCCGCCAGUAUUCUGGCGGGCAUGCCUGUUCGAGCGUCAUUACAACCCUCAGGCCCCCGGGCCUGGCGUUGGGGAUCGGCGGAAGCCCCCUGCGGGCACAACGCCGUCCCCCAAAUACAGUGGCGGUCCCGCCGCAGCUUCCAUUGCGUAGUAGCUAACACCUCGCAACUGGAGAGCGGCGCGGCCACGCCGUAAAACACCCAACUUCUGAAUGUUGACCUCGAAUCAGGUAGGAAUACCCGCUGAACUUAAGCAUAUCAUAAGCGGAGGA